rnacentral:rRNA from 1 species
GACGAACGCUGGCGGCGUGCUUAACACAUGCAAGUCGAACGGAAAGGCCCUGCUUUUGUGGGGUGCUCGAGUGGCGAACGGGUGAGUAACACGUGAGUAACCUGCCCUUGACUUUGGGAUAACUUCAGGAAACUGGGGCUAAUACCGGAUAGGAGCUCCUGCUGCAUGGUGGGGGUUGGAAAGUUUCGGCGGUUGGGGAUGGACUCGCGGCUUAUCAGCUUGUUGGUGGGGUAGUGGCUUACCAAGGCUUUGACGGGUAGCCGGCCUGAGGGGGUGACCGGCCCGUGUGGGCCUGAGUUAGGGCCGAAGCUCCUCCGGGGGGAAGCGGGGGGGAUGAUUGCAAAGGGGCGGGAGGCCUGUCGCCGAAGCGCCGCGUGGGGAAGGCGGGCCUUCGGUUUGAAAACCCUUUGCGCCUGUGACGAAGGGUGAGUGGCGGUAAGGGGUAAAGAGCCCCGGGCUAACUACGUC